AGAAAGAGAGAAAGAGAGACGGAAGAAAGAAGUGGAUAAUCGAUCGGAGUGCGCGAGUGUGAUAGGAAUGUGAAAUUUUUCUCUUUUUCUUUUUUACUACGUGUGCAAUUUCGUCCUGAUUCAGUUUUUUCUCUUUCUGUGGAUAUAAUUAUCAAAGAUUAUUAUCUUCCAAGUGUGCAUCUUCGUAGACGAAGAGAAACCGAAUUUCUUUUGAAAAGAUUACUACAAGAAAGGUGUGUGCGUGUGUGGAUUAUUACGGAAGAGAGAGGGAAACAUAAGUUUCGGAAUAUACCGCUACGUAAAGGAAAGAAGCAUAUUCGUGAUCAGCCAAGAUCAGUCACGACGACGUUACGAAGAACAACGUUGUCAUCAAUACCGCAUCAAAGUCAGCAGGAGACUUAACGAAUAUAAUAUUUUCGCACUGUUGGCAAGACGGCCGAUCGUGCGGUAGUACCACUCUCGACUAUCCCGUGGUCGCUACGAGCGAGAACAGCCCGAAGAUUUUUCCACCGAGGUCCAAAAUGCACAUCGAGGUGCAGGUGGCGCUCAAUUUCGUGAUAUCGUAUCUCUAUAAUAAGUUACCACGUAGGCGGGUCAAUAUCUUCGGCGAGGAGCUCGAAAAGGCUUUGAAGGAUAAGUUCAAAGGUCACUGGUAUCCGGAGAAGCCAUUCAAGGGUUCUGCCUUUAGAUGCCUGAAAACCGGCGAUCCCGUGGAUCCUGUCCUAGAACGGGCCGCGAAAGAAAGCGGUGUACCGAUUCAAGAUAUCCUGGAGAAUUUACCGGCCGAGUUAGCCGUUUGGGUGGACCCUGGUGAGGUCAGCUAUCGAAUAGGCGAAAUGAACGCCGUAAAGAUCCUCUACUCUGAAACUGGAGAUCCCCACGAUGAAAGUUCGGCCGAUCGAGAAGUUACCAAGACAUUCAAUCCAGAGGCUCAAUGCUUCAGACCGAUCGAAGCCGUCGGUACGUCCUUGGGUGGUCUCAGUUUAAGCCCCAAAUCCACUUCGCCCUUUCCGAAUUCUUUAGCCAGUAGCAGCAGCAGCAGCAAUGGUUCCUCCAACAAUCAGCAGAACAAUCACGGUUCGGGUUCUUCCUCGGCACCCUCACCUACGCCGAUCGGUAACUCAUUCAAGGGUUCGCCCAGUCCCGUACCAAACUUCAUACCGCGUACCACAGCACCGCUCACCUUCACGACCGCCACCUUUGCUCAAACCAAAUUCGGCAGCACCAAAUUGAAGACAAGCAGCAAACGAGCAAACAGGAUGUCGCCUACCGAGUUUUCGAAUUAUAUAAAGCAGCGUGCGAUGCAACAACAAAUUCAUCAUCAUCAUCAUCAUCAUCAGCAGCACCAACAGCAGCAACAACAGCAGCAACAACAACAACAACAGCAACAGGCGCAACAGGCACAGCAACAGCAGGGUCAACAGCAAGGCAGCACCGGACUACCGGUGUCACAGAAUUCACCGAGCAAUCGCAGCCUAUCGCCGGGUAGCAUAGUCGGCACUGGUGGAACUGCGACUCAACAGCACACGGAUCCAAGUGCAUAUUUCUUUCAGCACGGUCCAACGGCGGCUGCUGCUGCCGCAUAUCAUCCUCAAUUUUCUCAUCGCAACAUCUUCGAUUCAUCGAGCCAUGGUGGUUACCUUCCAAACGACCUUUACGCCGGUGCUGCUAAGUUUCCGUCGUCUUACCUAGACCCCGGUACGAUCGCCGGGCAUCAGUUUUACGGUGGUAGCGUGAACGGUACUGGCGGUAGCAACGGCACAAGCAGCAACGGCAUCGUUGCAGCUGGCAACGGUGGUAAUGCACAAAACGCCACGAAUCUUGGACCUGUUGGCUCAGCAACAACACCCAGUGCUGCCAGCGUAAAUGCAGCAACGGCCCAACAACAGCCCGACAAAAAUGCUCUCGUCGAGGGCUUGAAUAAUUUUGGACUCGGCUCGGUGGCACCCUAUCCUGCCAGCCAAUAUCAGCAUCUCCUCGUAGCCAAUUAAUAUCCUGCGCGUUUACAUACUGCUCGGCAAGUUGCCACGCGCCUAACAAUACGCUCCGCAACGCGACGCUCCUCCUCAACUUCCCCAUCGCCAGGACGACUUUCAACAAGGAACAGAUAUACACACAUGUCACGAAGCAAAGAGAUGAUACACGCAUAAAGCUACACACAAGGACACACAACUACCUCGAAAACGAAGCUUACCGAGAGCUGAGCAUCAUGAUCCAUGAAUCCCAUGAUUACGUAUGCGUGUGCACAAACAUGUUCCAACGUCGCACGCGAUAUACACGGAAGAUGGAGCGACGAGAUGCUAUUCUUUGGAUACGUUUUAGAAGAAGAAGAAGAAGAAAAAGAAGAAAACAGCGAUAACUGACGGUCGACAGCUAAACGAACGUUCGAGGAUAAUGGUCCGAUGGUGAACACACAUAUACGUAAAAAUACAUACAUGCAUACUUACUUACGGCACGUAUUACACGUACACACACAUACAUAUUACCAAGACGUAAUAAUUUAUUUUUUCACUGGUAUAGUUGAAGAAUUGAUAAUGAAUAUAACUGUAGAGCCUAUGUAUUAUAUUCAAGAUGCACUCACUUUACGGGUUCUCGCGAAACGGUAGGAAGUAUCUGUCAAUUUCUGUCGAGCUCGAAGACGGAUAUUAUUAACAGGGAAAUAGAUACAAGAAGUGAUUAAAAACGAGUGGUAUAGAGAGAGGGGGGAGAGAGAGAUAGAGAGAGAGGAGCAAAGAGAGAAGAAAAAAUCUGAAGAUCGCCGAGCGAAAUCCAAAAAAGGGAGAAAGUGAAUUUCUCUCUUUCUCGUGGGUAACACGGAUAAAAAAAGAAAAAAAGAAAGAGAGCGCAUACCGUUUCAUACCGUUCGGAAAAUUCGUCUUCGGUACGAUUUUACAUUUUAUUUUUGUAAUAAAUGCAGUAGAACGUAGAAAAGAUGAUGUGAGAGAGAGUGAAAAAGUAAAAGAAGAAGAAUUGGACGAAGAUGAUUGGCGUUGUACUCGUAAGGAUUAGCAUACAAACGAUGAAGUCAUAUUUGCCGAUCUUCAAAUUUAUCGAUCCUAUACACUAUAUAGAAUCGGAAGGAAGAUUUGAUAUGUGACACGUCGUCUCUGUACCAUCCUGAAUAUUAGAAAAUUAGGUUAAAAGGCCGCGAUCAUUGACUUACAAUGUUCCAUGCGAGCUCGCGAUUUUGUCCAAUAGACGUUUAAAUGAAAGAGAGAGAUUCAUCUGUUUUCAAUUUUGGGGGGAAAGGCACGUGUCUAUUCGAAUUUUUGUGAUAAAUCUGAAAUUAAAGAAAGAAAAAUCAGAAGGAAGAAGAAAAACUAAAAUAGAACAAACUUUUUUCGAUUUCGAACAAAUGAGAUUUUUUCGGGGGAUCUUUCUUUAUCUUCUUCGAUCGAACCUCUCUCACGAGCUCUCGUAAAAAAAAAAAGAAAAACGGGGAGAAAUAAUCGAAAAAAAUACAAAGCAAAAGGGGAGGGGAAAAAACAGAAAAAAUAUGACUCGACAGUAACGACGGCAGCGGCGGCGACAAUGAGAAAAAGUUUGAUAGACGAAAGAAAAGGAGGAAGUGCUAUGAGCCGCAGGCUGGGGUAUAUUAGGUGCUAAAAGUAUUAAAAACAAGCAAACAAAGUAUUUAACUUAUCGUAAAUAUGACAAAAUUGUAAGGAUGCGCGCAUCCGGAGACAGUCGACAGGCCCGGCAACAAUUGGAUAAUAGAAAAAUGAAAAAAAGAUAGAUGGAGAGAGAAAGAGAGAGAGAGAGAGAGAGAGAGAGAGAGAGAUUUUUAGAAACGAGGGAAAAGCGCAACGAAAGAGAAAAUUUAAAACUUCUCGUUUGUGUAUGUUGUGUAUGUCGUACGUACAUACGUAUUAUGCAAAGAAGAAAGGAGGAUAAGAGAAGAAAAAAGAAGAAGAGGAUACAAAAAUAAGUACGAAAAAAUGUAUGUAUAAAUGUAUAUUAUUUACAGAACAUGUUAACGUUUAUAACUCAAAUGCUCGACAGCUCUCUCGCCUUUUCUUCGUUGAUUUUCUUCUAUUUCUAAAAUUGUUUGCCAACGAAAAAAAUAGAAGAAAACAAAAAAAGAAAAAAAAAUAUAGUUCGGCGAUAGUUCGGCGUCGUACCUUUGCAUACUUCCUCUGCGAGCGAAUAAAUUUUACUUGAGAAUCUCAGCCUAUCUCGAUGAUUUCAAAUGUACGCGAAGGGACAUCGUCGUGGGUCAUCGUCGUCGUCGUUGUUGUGUUGUCGUUGAGUCACGGGAAAAGAUAAUCGUAUUUAGAUUGACUUUGAAACGAACGAGGAUCCUAUAAUGAUAUAUCCUCCGCGAUUAGUAUAAAAUAGUCCCUAUAAAAUGUGUAUAUGCACGGGCCACUCGGCAGCCGUCCUCUCCGGAUGCACGGGGCGUGUUGAAAUGGGGGUUUAUAAUAUAUGAUUUUUUAACUACGAAAACCUAUACUAGUAAAAUUAAUAAAAAGGGUAGAAGUGUUAAAUAAAAAGGAAAAGAAACGUAUGAGGAUGAUACAAAGACAAGGAAAGAAAGAAAUAAAUACGAAAAUAAAUGAAGAGAGAAAAAGAGGGAGAAGAAGGAGAGAAAGAGAAGCACGACAGUACCCUGUAGUAAUAUCUAAACUUAAUUAUAACUAUUAACGAUACGUACGACUGUGGUAGCUAUGCUAGUACCUGCUAUUAUUAACAAGAAAAAAGAUGAUGUAGUGGUGUAAGAUGGAUUGAUUGGGAAAGUGAACGAGAGAAAGAGAGAGAGAGAGAGAAAUAGACAAACAGAGAGACACAGAAAGAAUGAAAGAAAAAGAAAAGUACUAAGAAGGCCUUAGAAGCAUCGAGAUAGAAGACAGGGAAAAAAAGAAAAAAGGUAAGAUGCUGCAAACUGAGUCGCCAUAUUCUCUCUAACCGUGGCAAAAAACCAUCUUGCGGCAACC